CCCGCUUCCCCCAAACUAGUUCUCGAGUUGAGGUGUUUUGGUUCUCAUAUCUAGGGCAUGUUUGGCUUUCCUUUUGAAAACUCCUUUUCAACUUCUUUGAGAAGUUAAUAAGUCAGAAUUUCUAACUUAUUGACUUCUUGCCUCACAUCACAUACAAUCCCAAACACUCUAAAAGUCCUUUUUUAUGUUUUCAAGAAGUAAAUAAGUUAAUAAGUUGGUAAAAUAAGGAAUCCCAAACACCACCCUAAGGUGUCUUCAACAUCUAGGUUCUUGGCAUUCCAACCCCUUGACUUGUAUUAGGUUUGCCUCUCUUUCUCUUCUGCUCAGAUGAGUUUAACCUCUUUGUCCCUGCACCACCAAAACCUACGGCUCAUCACCACCAACCAGCGGCUAAUCAACAACCCCUCGAUUUCUAUGUUCAGGUGCAGGUUUGAAGAUGCACGCCAAGUGCUUGAUGAAACGCUACAACCAAACUCACUUUCGUUUCACAUUAUUUUUUACAAGAUAAGUGGAUAUUUAUCUUAGGUUUAAUUGUGUUGAUGUAUAGGAAUUGUGUGUCUUCUGAUCUGAUAGCUUGUUAAUAUUUAGUUUUCUAUUUAGCAUAAUUAUUGUCCGUGGAACUGGUAGGAUAUUGAAAAAUCUUGAAUGUUGUCCGUCGAUAAUCUUUUUUUACCUUUUAAGGUAAUUAUAAAUACAUACAUACAUUUUUAUGUUGUACAUGACUAACAUGUUUUCUUUAAUGAAUCUGAGUUUUGUUAUUAUCUAGUGUCUAAAAGAUGAGAGGUUUUUAUGCUGGCUAUUGGGGUAUCGAUUACGCCAUUAUUGCUCAUGAUAAGCAGGAUUUUAUAUGCACAUCUGUACUAUCAGACUUGAGAACCGAUUAGCUGGUAGAGAAGACAUGUUUGGAUUGCUAAGACAUCUACUAUUUUAAACGUUGCAAGACUUGUUGCUAUACAAAAGUAAGCAUUCAAUAGAAGAUAAUACGAUGAAGGUGAAGUUUCAACAUGAAUAAAGUCCAAUAAUGUUAAUAAAGUUAAACUAAGACCCAUCACAAAACAUGAAGCAUAGAAGCCUGUAGAAUCCUACACAUUGACGGAUAAGCCAAUAGAUAUACAAUAGUUGAUGUUUUAUACUCAAUACUAUUUUUUUCUAUUUUUUUAUUUACUUAGUUUUAAGAGAAUGCUUGAUGUAUUUAUAUUGUAUGUUAACCUAAUAUUUGUUUGUUCAUAGUUUAUUAUUUCAUGUUUAUAUA